rnacentral:lncRNA from 1 species
CUGACCCCUUGCGCUUCCCAAGUGAGGCAAUGCCUCGCCCUGCUUUGGCUUGUGCACGGUGAGCGCACCCACUGACCUGCGCCCACUGUCUGGCCCUCCCUAGUGAGAUGAACCCGGUACCUCAGAUGGAAAUGCAGAAAUCACUCGUCUUCUGCGUCGCUCACGCUGGGAGCUGUAGACCUGAGCUGUUCCUAUUCGGCCAUCUUGCGACAGCUAUGAAAUGAUGAUGGCCAACCAUGGAUAGAAGCUAGUGGGGCUUUCUACUCUGCUUAAACUGUUCCCAUUCCAAUGUGCAAAACACUGCUCAAGAGUUUCCUUGUUGGAGACUGACAGACAGAAAAGAAGAAGAAUGCAUUGUGUUCUCAGAGAAACCCAGACAAGAAAAGAUUGGAGCUGCUGAGCUGAGAGCACUGAGAACUGAGAGCACUCAAUCUUUUAUGUCCUUUUGGAGGUACAGCAUGGGAGAAAUGGGAUCACCUGGUAGUAGGACUCCAGUUGCUCCCAAUGCGACUUCCUGCCUUGGUGAAGUCUACUGGAAGGAGUGUUGACUCUGUUAGAGACGUACAAGUAGAGAGCUCCAGCAAGCUGGAAAUAGGAGUCUGUAGUCCAGCAGAGAAGUCAGGCUUGAAGAUACAAAUUGAGGAGUCAUCAAAGUAUGGAUGACAUUGGAAGAGAAGGAGCAAGAUGACAUGACUUCAAGAGUGGGUGCAGGUGGGCUGCUUCCCAUCAUGGAGGCGGUUGGAGCUGCUGACCUUGCCAAGAGAUAGGCAGACACAAA